rnacentral:rRNA from 1 species
AUGUCUUCAUCCUCGGGCGCUUCCCAAACCAGCCUCAAUGGCCAAGUUACCGAGAAGCCGACGCGCACAAACUAUGUGCUAUGGCGCACGGAAGUGAUUCCCCAGUUGCGUGGCGCCGGUGUCUUCGGCUACGCCGACGGCACUCAGCCGGAGCCGGCGAGACUCCUCGUCACCACAAAGGACGGCAAGGAGGUGUCAUCGCCCAACCCUCUCCACCCAAUCUGGGUCAGGGAGGAUCAGCAGGUCCUCGGAUACCUGCUGAACGAUCUGAUGCGCGAGGUGCUGCUCACAGUGACCACGGUCACCACCGCGGGCGCGCUCUGGACGACGCUCGCCGGCAUGUUUUCCUCGCAGUCCGCCAGUCGCAUCAACAACAUCCGAACCUCCCUCAUCAACGCGCAGAAGGGCAACCUCUCCGUCGCCUCCUACUUCGCUGCCAUGCGCGGCUACACCGACGAGCUCGCAGCCGCGGGCAAGGCGAUCCCCGACGACGAACUGGCCUCCUACAUCAUCCACGGGCUCGACGCCGACUAUCAGCCCCUAGUCUCUGCCCUAGACGCUCGUGUGACCCAGGUAACCCUUGAUGAGCUCUUUGCCAUGCUGUCAAAUUUCGAUCAGCGCAUGGCACAGUUCCAAGGAUUCGGCGGCGGCGGCUUCAAGUCGUCCGCAAAACAUGGCCACUCGCGAGCGGGGUGGAGGCUCCCGAUCGCGUGGCUCCUCUCGCAACAAGGGCAGGUUUGGCGGCAGCAACCGUGGCGUCACGCCACCUCAAUCUGGUGGCCGUGGUCGCCGUGGACGAGGCGCUGGUGGUGGCGUCAGAAACCGCCCGGACGCUCCCCGGUGCCAGAUCUGCGGCAAGCCUGGACACACAGCGAAGGACUGCUGAUACAGGUAUGA